GUGAUGCUAACGUAGCUCGCCCUCUUCACCUCCAUUUUUGACCUGCUGGGAGAUGCACUAUGAUUGCGAGUUGUUUGGAUAGGCUGGAACUCACAUAUUCGUCAAGCACAAUAAGCGCCACAAAGAUCAUGAUGACCACUAGCAGCUGCGAGGGCCAGAUCUGAGGGGUGACGUCCCCGAAGCCCACCGUGGAGAAGGUGACCACGCAGAAGUAGAGUGAAUCGAACAAGGUCAGGUUGUUGCCGGCCCGCUCCAGAUGCUGAAUGCCGCAGAUGCUGUUUUGGUGAACAGUGCGUUUGCUUGGUAGGCGGUUGGAUGCACUCCAGAGCUACUGUGCGAAACUGUGCAUAUUUUUAAAGUCUUAAGUGUGUGAGAUCAGAGCCUGUUGCCAAGAUUAAGAAAAAGUCCGUACGGGGUACCCACCAUGUGAACAUGAGACACACCAACGUACUGAUGAGUAUCACCACUUGGUUGAACAUGGCCGAGUGUGUCCGCUGGAUGGCCCUGUGGAGAUCGUUCUGCAGAGAGAGUGAGACGCAAGAUGAGGCGUGGAAAAGGAAACGUGGCCUCAAGAAUGCAUACGCAAUCAUCUCUCGCGGGGAAGCGAAAGCCGACUGUGUAAGCCAUAAGUGCCGUAUACUGUAGCAGCAGUGAUCAUGAAGGGGACGGCGCUGAUCAUCUCCAGAAUGAAGGGGACACGUAGUACUUGCUCCCAGACGUUGCCCUGGAAACGCAAAGCACACACAAGAGGGCCCACAGGGGUAGAGGUCUUUCCACCCAGAUGAUCAGCUUCCUGCACAGUGGAAGGACAUGACAGGAGAAGGAGCAAAGCGCUGCCAGUCCCUUCCCAAAGACCACCAACUGAGUUUAUCAAAUGGAUUCCAUCUCAGCGUGCGACCGAGACUGUCUCCGCAAAGUAAAAACAGCAGCCGGGAAACAACAACAGUGGCUCGACAUGGCAUUUCGGCAUAGGAAAAUGCUGUAGUUACUCACGUGAGCCAUAUCUGAUAUGAUGCUGACUGACAACAAGCUUGUGG